AUUGAACGCUGGCGGCAGGCCUAACACAUGCAAGUCGAACGCGUCGCGGACGGGUGUGUAAUGUCUGGGACACUGCCUUGUGGAGGGGGAUCACCUCUGGACGCGGUCGCUUAUCCCGCAAUCCCUCGUAUGUGCCCAGAUGGGUUUAGCUAGUCGGUGGGGUAAAGGCUCACCUAGGCGACGAUCCCUAGCUGGUCUGAGAGGAUGACCAGCCACACUGGAACUGAGACACGGUCCAGACUCCUACGGGAGGCAGCAGUGGGGAAUAUUGCACAAUGGGCGCAAGCCUGAUGCAGCCAUGCCGCGUGUAUGAAGAAGGCCUUCGGGUUGUAAAGUACUUUCAGCGGGGAGGCGUUACCCGCAGAAGAAGCACCGGCUAACUCCGUGCCAGCAGCCGCGGUAAUUC
rnacentral:rRNA from 1 species